GAUUCCGUAGCUCAGUUGGUAGAGCAAUACACUUUUAAUGUAUGGGCCCUGGGUUCGAGUCCCAGCGGGAUCACGA
rnacentral:tRNA from 2 species